GAUUCAUAUACACAGGAUCGGUUGAGAUCACUAAUGAUAUCACGUAAGAUCUUCUACAAGCUGCGGAUCAGUAUCUUCUUGAGGGUCUUAAACAGCUACGUGAAUAUGCCAUUGCACAAGAAGUUUGCAUAGACAAUGUCUCCAGCAUGUACGAAUUGUUAGAGGCAUUCCAUGCCAUGUCCCUGAGGCACACUUGUGUCAUAUUUAUUUUAGAGCAAUUCGAGAAAAUCAACUCGUCCAAGGCAUUCCCAUCUAAUCCAGCGAAUAACUCCAGAGAUCCGCAACUAAUUUGGUAAAGCUUUGAGGCCGAAACUGAGAAAAUCCUUUAACUAACUGUUCCUUUUUGACAGCAUCUUCUCUAACUCAUGCUGCUGUUGUUGGAGGCUUGUACAGUUGGAGCCAUUCUGCACCAAACAUCUAUUUCCGAAGGGGGUUCUUUAUGCCCAUAUCUUAGUUUGUUCCGAUCUUCUCAAGAGCAUUAUUUGUUCUUAUCAUUUAUUUUGAUACCCGACAUGU